rnacentral:rRNA from 1 species
AUGGAUUGGGAGGUGUUGUUCCUCUCCUACAUGCUAAUGGCGGCCUCGACCUCAUGUUCUCAUCAUUGCCCGCUGAUGCUGGCAAGCGUUGCAACUCCUGACAAACACGCUCACUUUUGUUUUGGGAGUUUCUGGAUGAAGUACCUGCGGUUUCAGGAAGCAGUCAAGAAGUCUUGGGACAGUCCGGUGAACCAUGAUUGCCCGAUCGUCCAUAUGAAGGAGAAGAAGACCCUGACAUUGGCAAAGUUUCAGUUGCGCAAGCAGCUCAAACUCCUUGUCCCGGGGUUGGCUGAGAUCGAGCACACAAGGAGGAGGCAGACCUCGAGGGUGCUAUGGUUAAAGGUGGGGGACGCUAGCACACGUUGUUUCCAUGCAAAGGUCUGCUCGCGCCAACAAUGGAACUUCAUCCACUCCAUCGCAACCCCGGACCCCAUGGCGACUGCACAUGAAGACAAGGCCAAGGUUGUCCAUGACCAUUUGUCUCUAUGUUAG